UACUGUCUGCAGAGGCGGGUGCCCCAUCUAUCCUGAUCGCCCAGUCAUUUGUGUAUAUUAUUGUUUGACAGAGUGGCAUGAGACUCCCCAUCCAAACAAACGCGAAAAUAGCCACCAUUCCGGUUGAAAGAGGAUCACUUCAAGACAGAGGCCUGCAGAUGUAUUGCAAAGCAUUUACUGGGAUCUACACAUCAGUGGCAUAUGGACCUUUGGCGUACACUUUUGAGCCACUGCAGCAGCACUACACAUGUAGAUGGCACUCCGAUAAGUGCGGCGGUUCUGCCUUUGAAAUCCCUCAAUAUGACUUUGUGCCAGCCGAGCUACGAGAUGUGCAGAGGCAAUGUUUAACUCCCUGCAGGCAAGAAAAGUUUAUUUUCCAUUUCCACUGUGUUUGUGUUUGUGUGUGUGUGUGUGUGCUCAAAUCUUGCAU